rnacentral:rRNA from 1 species
GGCGAACGCUGGCGGCGUGCCUAAUACAUGCAAGUUGAGCGCUGAAGGUUGGUACUUGUACCAACUGGAUGAGCAGCGAACGGGUGAGUAACGCGUGGGGAAUCUGCCUUUGAGCAGGGGACAACAUUUGGAAACGAAUGCUAAUACCGCAUAAAAACUUUAAACACAAGUUUUAAGUUUGAAAGAUGCAAUUGCAUCACUCAAAGAUGAUCCCGCGUUGUAUUAGCUAGUUGGUGAGGUAAAGGCUCACCAAGGCGAUGAUACAUAGCCGACCUGAGAGGGUGAUCGGCCACAUUGGGACUGAGACACGGCCCAAACUCCUACGGGAGGCAGCAGUAGGGAAUCUUCGGCAAUGGACGAAAGUCUGACCGAGCAACGCCGCGUGAGUGAAGAAGGUUUUCGGAUCGUAAAACUCUGUUGGUAGAGAAGAACGUUGGUGAGAGUGGAAAGCUCACCAAGUGACGGUAACUACCCAGAAAGGGACGGCGAACUACGU